AAAAUUGGAAUAACGUUGAGCUGGUAUCCUGGAGCUGAGCUUGAAACUCUAUGGCAGUGUUUCUCGGUCCGGUUCCUAACUGCUCCACACAGUUUUAAAUAUUCCAUGAUUCAACACACCACGUAUUGAAUGUACAUGAUCCAGCUCCAACUGCUUAUCAAACCAACUGUUUAUUAGGUUGUUAGUGACGUGGAUAAUGUGAAUUACCACUAGUAGGAUUACGAGACACUGCUCUAGGAAUGAAUAUUGGUAUCUGGAGUCCCCAGAGUCAGUCCUAUGAACACCAUACUUUGCAGUUUUUUGUGUUCCUCCAAUAUGACAGUUUUUUACUUAGUUAAUGAGCUGAAUCUGGUGUAAUAAAUGAGGAAAAGCACUAAAAUAUGCAUGACAUGGGGUCUCAGUGAGUGGGUUGGAGUCUCUGUUUGCCGUUAAGUUCAGAUGUUCGCUGUUUUUGACUAACAAGACUAACAAAAGUUAAGGGGUUUGUUGACAGGAUAGACAGAUAUACAUGUCUCAUAAAAUAAGCAAGCGGGUCCAGGUUCCAUUCUUGGGGGUCUUCAUUUUUUCUCCAUUUUAAAACACUUUUUUACUCAGCCCCGCCCACAAUGAUCUUAAUUUGCUAAAUAGGUCAAUCAGGUUUUAGAAAAGGUAAAACACAAUGUGUGAUAUGGGAUCCCCAGGACUGGUAUACGGAACCCCUGAAUUAAGCAAAGUCAUUACUGAUUUUGCUUACCCUCUUACAGAUUGGACUUUCUGAUUCAUCUCCUGUUGUGCUGACACACACAUGCUGUUCCUGUGUCGCAGGCACUGCCCUAUGCGACUAUAUAGUGGCUUUGCUUUUUCAAACUGCACAUUUUUCUCAGCUCAGUGUGCCAGUCGUUCCCCCUGUGCACAGCUGUACUGAAACUGAACAGCGCUGACACAAACCUCGGACAAUCGGUGUAAAGCCAGGACCAGUCAACAACAUGGUGAUCACAAAACCUGUGCCAAAUCGAACAUCUCAAGGUGGAGUUAGGAGUGGACUCUACAGGGGGACGGUGGGCCCUUUACCCGAUCCAUGCAUGUUUAGAGUGACAGAGGCCUAUGAAAAAUUCAGCCUUGAAGACAAACCACUGGUGACCACUAUGGGCAUGGCACCCCACAAGCCAGCUGUGCAGUGUGCAUUUGGUGCAGGAAGGCAGUGUUCUGUCAUAUCAGCAGCCUGUUUUACCAUCACGACACAUCACUCUCCACCCUGAUGUGCCAUCAACCCCACUUCUUCCUCUAAAAGACCACCACCUUGAUGCACCCACCUGUGCUUUUGUGUGCACUGAACAGGAACUCUUUCACCUGAAGUCUUUGGAGGUGUCACUUGAUAUGGCUCACAAAAUUGAGAUGUCAACUCGGGAGCAGAGUUCUUGUGCUGACUGGCAUCUGCUCCGCAAGCCUAGAGUAACGUUUUCGUGAGGUGUGCCGUGUCAGAGGGCAUAGAGUCCCUUGCUGAACGCAUCAUCAGAGGUGCCAGACAGACGGCAGAAAUGAAGAGAGGUCAAGAGAUGGAGUCCGGAGCAGCGUCUGAGUAUUGCAGGAUACUCAAUGUAAAUUACACACCAUGUGGCCUCAUCAUCCACCCAGAUGCUCCCUGGCUUGGUGCAUCCCCUGAUGGUGUCGUAUUUGACCCCACUGAAUACCCCCAGUUUGGCUUGGUCGAGAUUAAAUGCCCUAAUGUGAAGAAUUACAUUGACUGUAAGUAUCUGUAUCUGGAGUACGGAUGUUCAAAACUAAAAAAGACACAAGCGUAUUACUGGCAGAUUCAAGGUCAGUUACUAACCAGCGGGCUUCACUG